CUAACGAUAUAUCAAAAAUUCAAAAGCUCCUACGAGGAAUACGCUCACUUUCCAAAGCAAUUCACAAGAUAAAGUGUUUUUUUUUUUAAAAAAACAAAACAAAACAAAUUCCUGCUUUUUCGUUCUAAGCUAUAAAAUAGCAAGCAAGAUUUCAGAAAAUCGACACUAAUUACGUAUAAGGAAAAUCCGUGUCUUUAACUGAAUUUGAGUAACUCUACCAAAUUCUUAGUACCCCAAUAGGUAUAAAUCGUUAAAUCCUAAAAAAAUUUUAAAAGAACUGCUAGUUUCUUCUAUGUAUCAGUCUAUAAUCCUGUCGUUGAUAUUUGUGGUUUGGAGUUGCUAAGUUCUCAUACAUUCUAAACCAAAUUUACGCUGAUGUAGUUCGUUACUCAAUGACGUAGUCUACCUGACACCUAUAGAGCUUAUGGAAGUUUAAGGAUGCGGCAAUAGGAUAGCAGCAACGGUGAACACCAUCGCUAUAAUCAAAACAAUGAGCUGAAACAUAGAAAGAAGAUACGAGAAAAUUGGCUAAUUAAGAUACAACAGUAAAAAAGGUAUAUACGGACGCCUCUGAAACAGUUAUCACUGAUUUUAGUGGUACUAUUGAGAAGGUAAUGAGUUUUGUAAAGAACCACAAUAUUCCGUAUUUUUUAACAUUGAGAAUGCUCUAUUGACUCGUUAUAUACCACGAGAUGAAACCCUAUGUAUGUGUAGUUUGAAUGCGGCACUGUAUGUUGUUCUAUCGGUUUUUUUUUUAAACUUGCACUCUUCUGGUUUGAAAUGAUUUGGCUGUUAUAAUUACAAGUUGCAAUUCGGUUAAUUAGCGGUACUUACCUCUUCUAUGUUAAGAUAAACAUGUACUUUUAAUGAAGAAAGUAUACAAAUCUGACGAAGUAUUGGGAUAAAAGACUCUGAACUAACCGAUUUACGCAAUAUUAAUAGAAGCUAAUCUGACAGCUUUAAAUUUCAAAUUUCAGAUUGUAUACAGCCAAAGUAUACACGUACGCAUUUCGAAGUAGACUGGGUUUGACGUGUGCGAGAUAAUGAACAUAAUAGAUAUUUUUUAGAAUCUUUUAAUACUUGCGCAUAAAAUGUUACGUAUGAACAAGCAUGAAUUGUUUCCACAGCUAUAGAUACAGCACUUAUGUUUACCUAUAUCUAAACUGUUGCAUUGAAUCAUUCCUACAUAAACCUAAAAAACAACAACACAGGGAUAUCAAAAUUGCUUGCUUGCGAGCUUUUCUAUGUGCACUUCUAAAAUUGCCCAGCUCUACUUAAUACUUUCAGAAAGUCCUACCUUAAUAAAAUUCAAUUUCACUUUAGCAAAA